UUUUGUAUGUCAACACUGCAUCAAUCUACGGUAGAUCAUAAUUAUGUGUUUUUGAAUCGGGCUUUUCUUUUAAAUAAUUAAACCCCGACUUUAACAAUGUUUUAACCGCUUGUAAUUUUCUGAAUAAUAGGAAAUCCUUUAUUUCUUCUCAUUUAAUGGAUAUUUUUUGAAGUUUUUAAAUAGGUACUUACCGUCUCCUCUCUUGACGACAAGAUUAGAUGAGUGAUUCCUAAUUUUUUAAAAAGAUAAUGAUUGUCGGGCCGCCAUUUUGCUGAUGCGUUUGUCAAUUGAAGGUUACUCACAAUUGUUUAUUAUUGUUUUCCAAUAAUCUCACCUGAUAACCUCAUUCGGGGAAUUUUUGUUGGGUUAGGGUAAAAAAGCAAAGUGCGUAAUAUAAUAGAAUAUAUUUCAUUUUUUCAGACCUGGUUCUCACCUCAUGAUUGCUGAAAAACGACGAUGUCUCGAGCGUGGCUUUUAUCGCUUUCAGUCGCUGGAUGUAUUUAGGCUGCAAAAUAGAAAAAUCAAAAAUUUGUAAUUUUUU